GACGAACGCUGGCGGCAUGCCUAACACAUGCAAGUCGAACGAAACCUUCGUGUCUAUGUGCGCACGUGUGCUUAACGCGGGGGAACCUACCCUUAGGUUCGGAAUAACUCCCCGAAAGGUGUGCUAAUACCGCAUAAGGUCUUCCGACCAAAGAUUUAUCGCCUUUGGGUGGGCGCGCGUUGGAUUAGUUGGUUGGUAGUGUAAAAGCCUACCAAGGCGACGAUGCAUAGCUGGUCUGAUAGGAUGCUCAGUCAGAAUGGGACUGCGACACGGACCAGAAUGCGACGGGAGGCAGCAGUGGGGAAUAUUGGACAAUGGGCGAAAGCGUGAUAACGCAAUGCGGGGUGAGUGAUGAAGGGCUUAGGGUUGUACAGUCCUUUUACACGGGAUGAUAAUGACAGUAACGGGAGAAUAAGCUCCGGCUAACUACGUG
rnacentral:rRNA from 1 species